AUGCUCACUUUGGCGGUGGCACAUAUACUAAAAUUGGAACUAUACAAUUAGCAGGGCCCCUGAGCAAGGAUGACAUACAAAUUUGUGAAGCAUUCCAUUAAAAA